GCCAUUUCUUAAAAACCGGCGGCUUCUCUGGCUCCGAUUCUUUAUGAUGAUGGUGGUGAGAAGAGGUGGAAGAAGCUUCUCUGGAAUCGGGCUUCCAAUUUUGGAUGUCUUUGGGAGAGGAAGGAGAGACGAGGGGGGACAAGAGAGGGAUGGCGACCUUCCAAUCGGAGCGAUUGAUUUGCAGGGACGCCGGAGCGCGGCGUUGAAGGCGGCUUGGCUGCUGAGGAUGGCG
rnacentral:misc_RNA from 1 species